UCAAUUCUCAGUCUCAUUAUCAUAUUAAUUCUCAGUCUCAUUAUCAUAUUAAUUCUCAGUCUCAUUGUAUAAGAUCUACGGAUCUUUUCUUAAAUCUUGAUGUUCAAGUUAAUCCAGAAAUUGUGAUCUGAAGAAGCACAUGAAGACCUACUAAUCUAUUCUAACUUGUUCAUCCUUUAUAAAUAAUUACUCGAGCUUAUACCUGAGAUUUUAUCUGAGUCUAACUAAAGUUUUAUUUUAAAUGUAUCAUUCUGGCCUAAAAGUUUUAUAUUCUCAAGCCUAAAAAGCUUUUUUAUAAUGUCUAGAUUUAUACUUAAAAAGAGCCUAUAACAAAAAAUUAUAUUUAAUGGUCUAUGUAUUUCAGACCACAAUGGGCUAGGUUAGCUGCCCUUAUAUCCUGUUUAGUACUCCAGGUUGUGCAUUACUGGGUUUAUAAAACAUCUUAUUUAAAUGUGAAUGUAAACGCUGCCUAAAACUUUUGAAUUUAAGCUCUUUAAAACUUAUGGAUGUUAUAUAAAGUGAAUCCAGAUCGUUCUUGUAUUCCAUCACCUGUCCUGAACUAUGAACUAAUGAAUUCACAGGUGAAAAUACAUUUCUAGAUAAUUCAGAACUUUUGAAGCUUAUCCGAAACUAAUUACUCCCUUAUCUCGUAGACCAAGUCUUCCUCUGAUCUACCCACGCCGUACUCCUGGACGAGGAUGAUCUCUUCAAUCUAAAGAAAGUCUGAUAGAGCAGAUUCAUCUAUACAAGCUGCAGACUGUCUGUUUGCAGCUGGAAGCACGAUGAACCUGUCGAGCUGAGCCAAACCGCCUGUAGAGUGUCUCCCUGCUGGGCAACAUCGUCUUCACCUCCUACAUGGAGAAGUCCUGUCGGAAGCGUCUUCCUUGCUUCUCUAAACCGGGACUGCUGCUAUUAAGCAGAUAAAGAUCUCAUCAUUGUCCUCGACAUUGAGAUCUGAUGUUUAACUCAACCUUAUUCGGAUCCAAUCAUCAUCUUCACUACCUCCCUAUUGGAGAAGUCCCGUCGAAAGCAUCUCCUCUGCUUCUCUAAACCGGGACUGCUGCUAUUAAGCAGAUAAAGGUAUAUAAUCAAGUUUUGUGUGAUCUUUGUGAAUAAUUAACGACGAAAAUGUGACUAUCUCCUCUAACACAUGAUAAGCCUUCAUAUAAACUCAUCUUAUUAUUUCUAGUUAUGUAUAAGAGACAGCUGGUAACGAUCAUCCAACUUUAGAGCUAUUAAAUUCUCCGGCCUAAUCAACUUUUUAAGUGUUACCUUAAUUCAUAUAUAUUUGUUGCAAUUUAUUUACAUUUAGCACAUUGUAAGUGUUAUCUCAAUACCUAAUUGUUGUUACAACUUAUUCACACUUAGCACACCUGGAGCAAAUUUUAAUGUAAACUUAGCUAAUUUUAUUCAUUUAAAUCAUUCUAAUACUAAUUUAAUAUUUAUGCAACCCGUGACUGAUGUAUUGUUUUUCAGUUCACGGGUCUCAGCUCUGUAACGAUAUACCUGAAAUACAGAAUAUAAGA